CAUGUACUCUCUCCGUCCAGAAAUAUUUGUCAUCAAAAUGGACAAAAAAUGAUGUAUUUAGAACUAAAAUAUGUCUAGAUACAUCUCCUUUUAUCCAUUUUGAUGACAAGUAUUUUCGGACGGAAGGAGUAUGUA
rnacentral:pre_miRNA from 1 species